rnacentral:other from 1 species
GACAGCCUGGAAUGCUCGUAACCUUUCAAUUUUUGAACCAACAUGACGUAAACGGGAGUCUGGAGUCAGUGUGGAAUACGGUCAGGUCUCCAAGCUUAGGCUUGCCAGAGAAAGACUCGAAACCACCGCAGGACACCCACCUGGCAAGAUGCUAGGUGUCAAAAAGGAAGGAACGGCAUCCCGGGUCUUUU